GCGCCGGGGAAGAGCGCGGGUAGCUGCACCCCCUCGGCUCUUGCGCCCUCCUUCCCUUCCCUGCCUUUAAGCCGAUCGAGGGCACAACUGCAGGAGCCUGGAGGCGCUUUUCACCCCGCUGCCCCCCUUUCCUUUUCCAGCAGUUUGCUCUGCGGAAACGGAGCGAGCCGUCCCAGGCGCAGCUCUCUUUAACAGCCCGUGUCCUUGGCCCUGCAGGUCCGGGGACUACUGGAGACCUUGGAUCCCUACGCGGAGCGAGUCCGAGAGAGGCCUAAGAAGAAAUCCAAGUGGGCCAUAUAGUCCAUAUGGGAUGACAGAAGCCUCAAGAAAGCUAACACAAUAUACACAUCCAGUUAGAUUAUUUUGGCCCAAAUCAAGGUGCUAUGAUUACUUGUAUCAAGAGGCUGAAGCACUUCUGAAAAAUUUCCCUGUUCAAGCCACAAUUUCCUUUUAUGAAGACUCAGAUAGCGAAGACGAUGAUGAACUGGACCAAGAUUCGGGAAUAGAGUGUGAUGAGUAACUGUAGGGAGUACCAUUUCCACUUCC